AACGAAAUGAAGGCUGUGUUCACAUGGAAGCCUGUUCAGAGGUUUAUGACAGCUGCAUCUUAGUCAAACUGGAACAACUCAGAAGUCCUCAGUGCUCAGUAUUCUGCAUUUGCCUGCGGAGAUGGCAGCUCAGUUUGUGUAGUACCUUUGUAGGUCGAAGAAAACAAAUUGCUUUGAGGUGUUUCAUGAUCUCUCGAUUUUGAGAAUCAAUUCGUUCGAAGAGGUAUACUUCCUUCUGAAGAAUCUCUGACUGUGUGUAAACCAUACUCACUAUACCAGUCUGAAAAGAAAAAGAAUGAACUAAGAUUACACUAGUCCAGACUAAUAAAAACAUGCAUCAAUA